ACGGUAGCUCAGUCGGUAGAGCAGAGGACUGAAAAUCCUCGUGUCGGUGGUUCGAUUCCGCCCCGUG
rnacentral:tRNA from 1 species